AGAAAAUAAGUGAUUCCUGCCGCCAGCUUCGGGCAAGUUACAAGACGCCUUCUUCCUGUUUUCCGUCAGCGGACGAGGAUAACCCCCCACGGGUCUGGUGUGAAGAAGUGGAUGCUCGGGCCGGAGCAGAUGGGAAAAAAGGGGACGGAAGCCGCCCGGAUGAUCAACAGCAGGCAUCAGGAAAGUUUCCUGUUGUGUGACCACAAAAAUGAAGCUGAUGGAGACUGUCCACUGGGAAGGCCACGCCAAGCAGCAGAUGAAGAGGCAGGACCUGAAAUAGUGUAUCGAUGAUCACAAAUGUCGUCAGGAAACUUACCCGUAGGAAUAAACAGAAAAAGACACGGGCCAAGGCUGUAAGUGGACGGUGGCGCCCUCCUGGAAACGCAGAAGAGGGUGUAAGGAUCGCAUUCCCCUUUUCACCGUUAGACACGCCGGGUUCGGCCACCUCCUGUGCGGAUCUCCCACCAAAUCACUCACCAGCUAUGGAUGCCAUCCGGGGUCCCUGUCCCCACGGGUAAAUUCUCCUCCGUUUCCAGUUUCGGUUCAGCCUCAACUGUCCACCUGAUCAACACCUUGAUCCAAUAGGCAGCUCAGAAGGAGCACCUGAGUUCUACACCGACAACGUCACCUCUAGUCACAGAACGGGCACCACCUGCUUCCCCCCAGCCUCUCCAGGUCACUACUGCAAGAGCCCGUCCUGAGACGUCCCUUUCCACCACUCACGGUCCCUCGGUCACCUCAGGCUCGCGUCCAC